rnacentral:rRNA from 1 species
GCAGCCGCGGUAAUACGGAGGAUGCGAGCGUUAUCCGGAUUUAUUGGGUUUAAAGGGUGCGUAGGCGGCGCGUCAAGCCGGUGGUAAAAUUGCGGGGCUCAACCCCGUAGAGCCAUCGGAACUGGCGUGCUUGAGUGGAGAAGAAGUAUGCGGAAUGCGAGGUGUAGCGGUGAAAUGCAUAGAUAUCGCGCAGAACUCCGAUUGCGAAGGCAGCGUACUAUUCUCCAACUGACGCUGAGGCACGAAAGCGUGGGGAUCGAACAGGAUUAGAUACCCC